rnacentral:tRNA from 1 species
GAGGGUAUAGCUCAAUGGUAGAGCAUGUGCUUAGCAUGCACAAAGUCCUGGCUUCAAUCCCCAGUGCUUUCA